GACGAACCCUGGCGGCGUGCUUAACACAUGCAAGUCGAACGGUGAACGAGGGAGCUUGCUCCCUCCGGAUCAGUGGCGAACGGGUGAGUAACACGUGAGCAAUCUGCCCCGAACUCUGGGAUAAGCGUUGGAAACGACGUCUAAUACCGGAUACGACGCGGGAGGGCAUCCUCUCCGCGUGGAAAGAACUUCGGUUCGGGAUGAGCUCGCGGCCUAUCAGCUUGUUGGUGAGGUAACGGCUCACCAAGGCGACGACGGGUAGCCGGCCUGAGAGGGUGACCGGCCACACUGGGACUGAGACACGGCCCAGACUCCUACGGGAGGCAGCAGUGGGGAAUAUUGCACAAUGGGCGCAAGCCUGAUGCAGCAACGCCGCGUGAGGGACGACGGCCUUCGGGUUGUAAACCUCUUUUAGCAGGGAAGAAGCGAAAGUGACGGUACCUGCAGAAAAAGCACCGGCUAACUACGUG
rnacentral:rRNA from 1 species